GUGGCUCAGGGGUAAGAGCACUGAUUUCUAUUCCAGAGGACCUGGAUUCAAUUCCCAGC
rnacentral:tRNA from 1 species